AUGCCCUUGGGGGACCUCAACCCCGUCGACGCGUCGUCGUACAAGUGCGCAGCCUGCGGCUGCCACCGCAGCUUCCACCGCAAGGUGAUGAUGGAGAGGUCGCCGCCGCUGCCGCCCAUGGUGGAGACCGUGCUCCAUGGCCUGCCGCAGCGCAGGAAGGAGGAGACGCCGGAGGACCGGCUGCCGGGCGUCGACUCUGACACCAACUCAGAUGGCACGGAGUACAACUCAGAUGCCACGGAGUACGACUCAGAAGGCACAGAGUACGACGACGAGCGCUCCGUGCCCCGACCACUCCAACCUCAACCCGUGUACCAUCCGGCGCAGGUGACGCAACAUAUCUCUUCUGGGCGACACAACUUCCUGUCGAGGGCACUGCAGAUCCAGAGGCUCCCCGCCCAGCUCUCGCCGGCGACAGCGUCACCGCCCCAUGGGGUUAUGUCGGAGAGGAAGCGGUCCCGCACCACGUUCACCACCGACCAGAAGCUGCGGAUGGAGGAGCUGUCGGAGCACCUGGGGUGGCACCUGCAGAAGCGCGACAAGGACUUCAUCGAAGCAAGAUGCCGCGACAUAGGCGUCAGCAAGAAAGUCUUCAGGAACUGGAUGAACAACAAGAAGCGCAAGUACCCCAGCGGCCACAACCCCUCCGCUGCAGCAUCAUCUGUUGUCGGACCAUCCCAUCUCCGUCUUCCCCCACCACAAUCACACCACCAGUGUUAG
rnacentral:rRNA from 1 species